AUUCAUUGCUCUGACGAGAACACCCCUAAGGAUGAACUGGUCAAGAGUCAGCACCGUUGCGACUACCAGCAGAAAAGAAGCUGUCUGGUGUGUAUCUUGAGUCCUUGGGCCUCUGCUGCUAUCCUCUCCCAUGGGAUCAGAAGGAGCAUACAGAGAUGGCUUUCCCUUGUUAUGACUAUGGUGACCAUUUUUCUCAAUGAGAGGUAAGAGUAAAGUCAUGGCUGUAUGCCUAUUUCUAUGUUACCUUUUCAUUAACAACAGUGUAACGCAACCUUUAUCAACAGAAAGAGAAAGCCUUUAGCUGAACAUAUUUUAAUGUACAGGGAUGCCAGAAUGGCCUUAGAGAAUGAUUAGCUUUGUGUGUUGGGAAGGCUUCCAAUGGACAUCACCGAUCCCAGAGCUGGUCCUGGUUCUGUCCUGGUUUUAUAUUUAUGUUGUCUCAUUCGUGUGUUGAGAUAGUGUAAUCUGUUCCAUUUUAACACUACCAUUUCAACUGUGUGUGUCUCACAGGGUGACACCAAAAGCAAUAGGUGAAAGGCUGCAGGCUGUGUCCAACGGUCUAUGGGUCACAAAGGGCCGUGAGGUAACCAUGGUCCCACCUCAGGUUCCUCUCCCCAGUCCUGUCACUGCCAGUCAGAGGGCAGCAGCUAUCCACUGCCUUAAAGAACUGGUGCGAUUGUACCGCUGUUCUAUUGGCCAAGGGACUGCACAUGGUGUGUGUGAAUGGAGGAUAUCCACUGCUGUUGAGAUGACUCUAAGAAAUGCAGGCAUGUUGCCCAACAGCAUUUUCCACAACGGUUGGAUGAAAGUGUCCAUCUCAGACCAGCUCCCUCCAUUGACCCUUGGUGAGUCCACCAAGCUGGAACAAUCUGUACCACCAUUGGCAUGUCUUUUCCCUAGAGAAGCUGCCAUGAUGAGUGCUAAACCCCACCGUGCCCAACAGCUGAGAAAGAAAAGCCCAUAUCACAGACAGCGUCAGGCUUCCUCCACACUCUGCAUGGUCCCAGAGAUGCUCCUUAUCCACACCCUUGGCAGAUUUAUUUAUAAUAUCUACCCCCUGGAGGACUUCUCCCCAUGGACAGAGGAGGUUAUUGAAAACCGUGUGGAGGUGACGCGGCAACUUUCCUUCCUGGUCCAGGAGGCCUUGGCCAAAUCUUCUAAGACCAAAGCCCUACAAAGAGCACUGAGGAAGCUCUCAGAGCCGAACCAGAACUAUGGGCCACUGGAGCUCCAGCUGGGAGAUCUGCUGUUCACCAACUUUUUGAAGCAGUUCUCUUCACAGCGCCCCCUGUCACCUGAGGCCUUCCUGGACAAUCACCAGCUCUGCUUGGAAGUGUCAGUUAUGGUGAGCAGGGUGCUUCUCCAGCACUGGACCCCCAGGAUAUCAUUCUCCCCUGUCUGUGAGGUGCAGGAAAUCAGCCCGAGACUGAAGCGUCGCCAGGGGGGUGUCAUCCAACACUGGUCCUCAACAGACAACCUCCAAGUGCUUGCUGAUGAAAGCCAUGAGGAUCUGCAAUCUGUGGAUGACAGAAAACAGCAGAAGAAAGGAGUAAAGAGUUUUUUCCGCAGAGCUUUGAAGUCAUUCAAGCGAUUCUCUACCACUGGCUGCCUGUUGUGAGAAGCCUGCCUCCUGACCUGCCUACCUGUCCCUGGAUUCUCCUACUGUCUACCCCUGCCUGUACUGUUGCCAUCGCGGACUGAUCACCCGGUAUUUCGUCCUGCCUGCCUGCCCCUGGAUUCUUCUACCGUAUACCCCUGUCUGUACUGUUGCCAUCGCGGACUGAUCACCCGGUAUUCCGACCUGCCUGCCUGCCCCUGGAUUCUUCUACCGUCUAGCCCUGCCUGUACUGUUGCCAUCGCGGACUGAUCACCCGGUAUCCUUACCUGCCUGCCUGCCCCUGGAUUCUUCUACCGUCUACCUCUGCCUGUACUGUUGCCAUCGCGGACUGAUCACCCGGUAUCCUGACCUGCCUGCCUGCUUCUGGUUUCUCCUAUCUGUCUACUCCUGCCUGUGCUGUUGCCUUAGUGGACUGAUCUCCCGGUGACCGAAUCUGCCUGCCCGUCUCUCCCGUUUUGCUCUUGCCUCCUCCCAAAAAAUAAAUCGACAGUUGCGUUCCG
ensembl:lncRNA